rnacentral:lncRNA from 1 species
AAUUGAAUCUGGUAUAGAAAAGAAAAAUAAGGCAAAUAGGUUCAUUUUCCUCCAAUUCUCACAUUCAACUUUGAACCAUUUCUCAAUGCUUAUUCAUAAAAUUUGAGAUCGGAAAGCUUGUUCUUGAGUGAAGUAGUAUUUAUAGAACAUAAAGCACAAAUUGUGUGAUUCUCUACCAAGUGUUAACCAGUUUCUUGCUGCUCUGCACCCAUGUGUGCAAAUUGGGUGGGUCUGGCAAUUUUGAGGUCAAAAUGGGUCCAAGUCUCCAACAUUCAUUUUCAGCCCAGUGGCAGCCCAAGCCCAGUAGCCUACUAAAGUUUUCAAUCCAACUCCAACCAACAAGACUACUCCAAUCUUUUUCCACCCUGUAUUUUCACAUUCUUCCCUUGUUCUGACUACUCCUGCAUAAUAGUUACUUGUUCUGACUUUUGGUAGUUUUCGCAGAACCUGCUGGUGGUGGAGGACGACCACAAUGUGUUCCUUGGAUGAUGCACCAAAGGCUAAACCCUAUUCCAUGCUGGGACUUCGUUAAUUUGCAGACCAAGGAAAGGUUCACGCUUGAGCCGUCUGACCAUGACAGAAUUACUAUACUAUUUUUGAGACUAGGAUGGCUGCU